rnacentral:lncRNA from 1 species
UCUUGAGCAGAGAUUAUGCAUAUGUUGGAUUACUUCAGAGGCACUUCUGUGUAUCCCGUGAGGCUAGUGAAGCUGCUGCAGUAACCAAUAGCUGCUGCAACUCUUCAAACUCUGUUUCCGAACUUUCCAAAGCUCCUUCCACCUCCCCUGCAACAACAGCCGCUGAGGAUCUGAUUGUGAAGUACAAGUCCCAGCUGAAAAUAAACCCGAGGCAUGACUUCAUGAUGGUGUUUACCUGCAAGGUAUGCGAGACUAGGUCUAUGAAGAUGGCCAGCCGAGAAUCAUACGACAAGGGGGUUGUCGUGGUGCGAUGUGAAGGGUGUGAUAAUCUGCAUUUGAUUGCGGACCGUCUUGGUUGGUUUGGAGAACCGGGGAGCGUGGAGG